AACGGGCAUUCUACACUUCCGAAAUUCAUGACUAGCUUUCAAUAGUCAUAGAAUAUUAUAACACGGGACACUGUAACAGUAACACAUUAUAAAGAUUCGUCAUAGAUUACAACCUGAGAGAUGUAACUUUCACAACAUUUCAGAUGCGGUUCCAGCUUAAUGAUGUUCCUAUCUACAAUUAUCGUCAAGAAACGCUAAAUAGUACGUUCCUUCAUUGUUGGAUAGGAGGGGGAAGUUUCUCUCCUAGGUCUCCAUAUUUAAUAAAAUUUACCAUGCAGAACCCACUACUCAUGAAAAUAUACAGGAUCGGAUUAGAGAUGUUUGCCACCAAAUUAAUAAGAGAACAUGAAGGACGUGGAGCUAUCACUUAGAGAGAGAAUUAAUUAAUGUAUUAAUGUCGGAUAUCCUUUUAAACACAUGAGAUGAGAAAAGAGCAAUUUGUAUAACAAAAGCAAAAUUCAAGUGGCAUUAAAUAACUGAACAAUCUUGAAAUGCCUUAUUUGCUUACAUAAAGAAGAUAUACAGUCCUAUUAGUAAAAAAUCCAAGUUCAUCUAGAAAUCUCGAAAGCACGCCCACCUAGCAAAAAUUUGCGACCAUUAUAGGAUAGGAUGUCCCCUUCAAAACAGGGUAAGGUUCAUUUGAAACAUUUUUUGAAACAAACUAUAGUUUAGGAAAUAAUUGAGUGCAUUAUUUCGAAUGGGACACCCUGUAUAUUAAUAAAGUAUCAUGAAUAAUAUGAAA